rnacentral:rRNA from 1 species
GACGAACGCUGGCGGCGUGCCUAAUACAUGCAAGUAGAACGCUGAAGGAGGAGCUUGCUUCUCUGGAUGAGUUGCGAACGGGUGAGUAACGCGUAGGUAACCUGCCUGGUAGCGGGGGAUAACUAUUGGAAACGAUAGCUAAUACCGCAUCAUAUUGACUAUUGCAUGAUAGUCAGUUGAAAGGUGCAACUGCACCACUACCAGAUGGACCUGCGUUGUAUUAGCUAGUUGGUGGGGUAACGGCUCACCAAGGCGACGAUACAUAGCCGACCUGAGAGGGUGAUCGGCCACACUGGGACUGAGACACGGCCCAGACUCCUACGGGAGGCAGCAGUAGGGAAUCUUCGGCAAUGGACGGAAGACUGACCGAGCAACGCCGCGUGAGUGAAGAAGGUUUUCGGAUCGUAAAGCUCUGUUGUAAGAGAAGAAAGAGUGUGAGAGUGGAAAGCCCACACUGUGACGGUAUCUUACCAGAAAGGGACGGCUAACUACGUG